GUCGUUUAGCUCAGUCGGUCAGAGCAUCGUGCUAAUAACGCGAGGGUCGCAGGUUCGAGCCCUGCAUCGACCA
rnacentral:tRNA from 1 species